AUUGUUUCUUGGCUCCUUGGAGCUCAGAUCAAAGUGUUGUGUCUGUUCUUAUCAGUUUAAUCUCUGAUACAUCCUUGAUGUGAGGUCUGUAUAUUAACUUGAUUUUUGAAGCAGGGGAGAUUGUUUGCUUUGUCUGCCUUAUGCCGGAGACGGGAGCACUUCUUAAACUGUUUUCAGUUAAGCCUUC